rnacentral:lncRNA from 1 species
GUGCUGACACCCCAAAAGUUGGGAUGUGUGCUCUGGGGAAGGUGGGGUGUCCAUACCCCACACACUGUGGGUUAGUUGGGGAUGGCAGAGCCUGUGUCUCCUUGUGCCCCCAUGGUAUGUGGGCUACUGUGGAAGGUGGGGGAGCUGAUUUUGGGGUCCCUGUGCCUCAGUUUCCCCUGGCAGAUCACUGUCACUGUGUGAGGGAGCAGCAAGGAGGAGCAGGGCACGCUGGAAAUACCGCGGUGUUGCUGAUUCCCUUGUUUUGUUUCCUUGAAAGUGGAAAAACAAAAAGUUGUUAAAUAUCAUCCCAGCUGCUGGCACAGUGUCAGCCAGGGACCCUGGCCAAGGGAAGUGACCAGGUGCCAGCCUGGCAUGCCUUCCUCACGGCAGGGAUGGAGCCAAAGGGGAGCAGAGGAGGGUAUGGGGCGGAAAGGGACCCUGGAGCACCCCAGGGCUGAGCUGAAAUGUGGUGUCCUCCCCAAGGGGGUCUCCAACCUCAGCCCUGUGAGGCUUCUUGCACCUCUUUCCCAGCUCCUGCUCCUGUCCCACCCUUGUGGGAGUGGCUGCAGUCUCUGGCUACUGUGGGGUGAUGGGGGGAUCACUCCAAAGGGCCCCAGAGGGACUGAAGCUGUGCCUCUCUGUGAGGCCCCCGUUCAAGAAACCCUCCUCAUUCCCCUCCUUCCCAGGCCCCCGUGUCCCAAAAGCAGCGUGGCUCUGGGGCAGGGCUGUGCCCUGUGCUGGUCACUCGGGUGCCCAAGGGUGGUGUGGGAAGCAGGGAUGUUUUGUUAGCACCAAAGCUCAGCUCCACAGGGAACAGGGCUGCUCCAGAGCUCUCCCCCUGCUCGCUGCCUGCCAGCUGUGGGGGUUUGGGGCACAGUUUGGGUCAGGGGACCGAAAUCCCAUAUUCUGGUUUCACUGCUGUCCGCCUGGUGUGGGGCAGAACCGGGCACGGUGUGGGGUUCCCAGUGCACCCUGUUUGGGGUGUGUUGUUCCAGUGCAGUGUCCCCCCCUCGGGACUCCUUGUGCCCUUUGCUUCCAGGCUGCUUCAGCUUGGCCAGAGGAGCAGAGGAACCUUCUGCGGCUGCGGGGCUGCGGGCCAGGGCUGGGCCUUCCUCCAGAUCCCAACUUCCUCCUCCUUGCUUGCUGUGGACACAGCCAGCCCCUCAGAGCAGAGACCUGAUAAUACCCAGAGCAAACCCUUGAGGGCCCCCAGAACAAUUUGCGAGCCGCCUUUCCUCUCCCCCCAUCUCCUGGGAGCCCCAGCCCAUCUCCCGGGCAUGUGAAAGCUGCCGGGAUCUGGCUGCCGGGGCCACACGUGUUUGUCCCCGCCGUGUCACCCGCCAGCGUGCCCGGCCAUG